rnacentral:misc_RNA from 1 species
UCACCCCUCAAGCUCAGCUUGGUGUUGGGGUCUGCCUGUCACAGGGCAGCCUCUAAAAUCAGUGGCGGUGCCAUCUGGCUCUACGCGUAGUAAUACUUCUCGCGAUGGAGACCCGGUGGUGCCACGCCAGAACCCCAAAUUUUAUCAC